GGGGUAGUUUUUAGUACGUAAGCGCCAUGGAUGGCGAAUCGUGCAUGCUGCUACUAAGAACCAGCAGUAUCUUUUGAAGAUUUUUUACCUC
rfam:Glossina morsitans morsitans, isolate Yale, WGS project CCAG01000000 data, contig: ctg10019362